rnacentral:rRNA from 1 species
ACAGCCUUCUGAAGGAGCUUUUAGAAGAUGGCAUCAUGAGUCCGCAUGUUCACAUGAUUAACGGUAUUCCGGUAGACGAUGGGGAUGCGUUCCAUUAGAUAGUAGGCGGGGUAACGGCCCACCUAGUCUUCGAUGGAUAGGGGUUCUGAGAGGAAGGUCCCCCACAUUGGAACUGAGACACGGUCCAAACUCCUACGGGAGGCAGCAGUGAGGAAUAUUGGUCAAUGGGCGAGAGCCUGAACCAGCCAAGUAGCGUGAAGGAUGACUGCCCUAUGGGUUGUAAACUUCUUUUAUAAAGGAAUAAAGUCGGGUAUGGAUACCCGUUUGCAUGUACUUUAUGAAUAAGGAUCGGCUAACUCCGUGCCAGCAGCCGCGGUAAUACGGAGGAUCCGAGCGUUAUCCGGAUUUAUUGGGUUUAAAGGGAGCGUAGAUGGAUGUUUAAGUCAGUUGUGAAAGUUUGCGGCUCAACCGUAAAAUUGCAGUUGAUACUGGAUAUCUUGAGUGCAGUUGAGGCAGGCGGAAUUCGUGGUGUAGCGGUGAAAUGCUUAGAUAUCACGAAGAACUCCGAUUGCGAAGGCAGCCUGCUAAGCUGCAACUGACAUUGAGGCUCGAAAGUGUGGGUAUCAAACAGGAUUAGAUACCCUGGUAGUCCACACGGUAAACGAUGAAUACUCGCUGUUUGCGAUAUACUGCAAGCGGCCAAGCGAAAGCGUUAAGUAUUCCACCUGGGGAGUACGCCGGCAACGGUGAAACUCAAAGGAAUUGACGGGGGCCCGCACAAGCGGAGGAACAUGUGGUUUAAUUCGAUGAUACGCGAGGAACCUUACCCGGGCUUAAAUUGCAGAUGAAUUACGGUGAAAGCCGUAAGCCGCAAGGCAUCUGUGAAGGUGCUGCAUGGUUGUCGUCAGCUCGUGCCGUGAGGUGUCGGCUUAAGUGCCAUAACGAGCGCAACCCUUGUUGUCAGUUACUAACAGGUUCUGCUGAGGACUCUGACAAGACUGCCAUCGUAAGAUGUGAGGAAGGUGGGGAUGACGUCAAAUCAGCACGGCCCUUACGUCCGGGGCUACACACGUGUUACAAUGGGGGGUACAGAGGGCCGCUACCACGCGAGUGGAUGCCAAUCCCAAAAACCUCUCUCAGUUCGGACUGGAGUCUGCAACCCGACUCCACGAAGCUGGAUUCGCUAGUAAUCGCGCAUCAGCCACGGCGCGGUGAAUACGUUCCCGGGCCUUGUACACACCG